AGCUUAACCUCCGGGAGGGCGCUUACCACUUUGUGAUUCAUGACUGGGGUGAAGUCGUAACAAGGUAACCGUAGGGGAACCUGCGGUUGGAUCACCUCCUUACCUUAAAGAA
rnacentral:rRNA from 1 species